rnacentral:tRNA from 1 species
GAAGUAAGAAACCCAAAAAUAAGCUUCUAACUUAAUUUUUAAGCAAUGAAAUUUGUUUUUACUUCU